CAGCAAAUCAAGCAAGAGGUCUUAAAAAGAAAAAGUAGAAAUAUCUUAUAAGUCAGUUUAUACAAUGGAUAGAAUUUUCUGUUCCUACUCCAAUGGCUUCAAGUCACCUCAAAUGCCACCUCUUCCAAGAAGGCCUUCGUAUGGGAAGGAGGGUUAACCAGCCUUGGAAUCAGCUUGCCACAAUAGAAAGAAACUUAGAGAAACAAAACUGCUCCUUAGUGAAUACCAUAGAGCUGCUGGAUCAAGCCUUGCCUGCAACUUCCACCGCUAGUGACCUUUUGAGUUUAGCAUAGAUACAAUUUCCUGUGGGACACUCAGUAUCUCCAAGACCUAGGAUGUGCCUUGAGAGUUACCAAGUUCCCUCAGAUGAAGGAGGAGAGAACCCUAAUCUGAAGAGGGGAGGUCUGAAGUGGACAGGAACAGUACCAAGGAGACCAGAGGAGGCAAAACAUUAAAAGUUGAGGAAACAGCAUAAAUAACAGAAGACUGAAACUAAGUCUCCCAACGACAGGAAUGAAGGCCGCGUUCUUUUUCCUCUGACUCUACCCCACCUCUGGCUACAGCUGAUUGGAUCAAAGACAGACACCUGACCAAGGACAGUCACGCUGUGCUUUAUGUCCCGGCCGAAAAAGGCUCUGGUGAGGAUCAAAACUUUUUUUUAAUUUAGGUAAUUAAAUAAAUGAGCUGAACGGAAGUCUGAAUCAGUAACUCUUUGUAGCCUUAAAUGAAGUACAGCGGGAAAAGGAACACAGGAACUCAAGCUUGCCCUGGGCUGCCUGGUGGGAAACAGAUCCGGAUCUGCAAAGGUGUUAGGUAUCUGUGCAGAGGAAGCCGUCUCUGCCCUUGAUUUCGGCCCUCAGAGCCCUCAAUGACAGCAGUAGAGUCUUCUACUAAGCUAUGUUUCUAAGGAUAAGGUUGGGAUCCUGACAGUGAAUAAGGUUAUCCUGCAGGAUGGAGAGCUGAGAAUUCUUGGCACCCGAGCCUCUCUGAGGCAGUUACCAAUGCAAGCUCCCUCCCACAUGUGAGGAGACAUCCCUUUUUAAGCCCAUCCUGUGACCAAAGCUUGGAAUGCAGCGCUGGCUUUUGGAAAUAAGCAAAGGCAGAUUAAGGAAGAAAGGGCCUUUACUGUGAGUUCUGACUGAUAUUUCCCUUUAGGGCCUUGAGGCUUAAGCCUUUCGUUCUAGAAGAAUGGGGAGGGGAGGAGCUACUCCCAUUUGUUGCUAAGCGACUAAAGCUUUCUCGGGUCACGUUUGCAGCUAUUGAGAAUCAGUGACAAGGUGGAUGUAGAGAUGCAGGGAGAAGCCUCUCAUUUCAAGAUUUCUGGUUCUGUAUUUUAAACCAUGGAGUUCGCAAGAACAAAAUUGAUUGGAAGCCUGUCAAAGUUCGAGAAUGGUGUUUUUAGAAAGAAGCCAAGCCUUAGAAGGAGGAAUAAGUUUCAGGCUUAAACCAACACAGCAGGGCAUCUUAUCUUCCUCUGCAAAGUCCAGGCCCGAUACAAAGGAUGUUAAGAAUAAAUAUAACAAAAAAUAUGCACAACCUGUAUGAAGAAAAAAACACAAACCAACCAACCAACCAAAUGAAGGGCCUAAAAUAACAGAAUGAAUGGAGAGUCAUGACAUGUCCUUUUUGGAAAGACAGAUACUGUAAAGAUGUAAAUUUUCUGCAAACUAUUUGUAAGUAUAACAAAGAGAUCCAUUUUGUAUUUGACGUGACAACAUAACUCUCAUUUAUUUGGAAGAUUAAAUGUAGGAAUAUCCAGAAACAUUCUGAGAAAAAAAGAGUAACAAGUAGGAAUUUGCCUGUGGCGUAUUAAACCUUUUUUUUUUUUUUUUUUUUGAGACGGAGUCUCGCUCUGUCGCCCAGGCCGGAGUGCAGUGGCGCGAUCUCGGCUCACUGCAAGCUCCGCCUCCCGGGUUCACGCCGUUCUCCUGCCUCAGCCUCCCGAGUAGCUGGGACUACAGGCGCCCGCCACCACGCCCGGCUAAUUUUUUGUAUUUUUAGUAGAGACGGGGUUUCACCGUGUUAGCCAAGAUGUUCUCCAUUUCCUGACCUCGUGAUCUGCCCGCCUCGGCCUCCCAAAGUGCUGGGAUUACAGGCGUGAGCCACCGUGCCUGGCCUUAAGCCAUAUUUUUAAACUGUGAUAGUGUUUGAGUAACAGCAUCGGAGUAAACAGGCAGAUCAAUGGAAGAGAUUAAAAAGUCCAGAAGCAAACCAAGCUCUAAGUUCCUGGGAAUUUAGAGGUGAUAUUUCAAAUCAAUGUACUGAAUGGGUUUUCCAAAAAAAUGUUUUGGAACAAAUGGCUAGUGUUUGCAAAAAUAUAAGAGAAGCCUGCCUCCCACUUAAUGAUAUUUUGAAAUUUAAGGCUGGGCACGGUGGCUCACAGCUGUAAACCAGAAAAGCCAGCACUUUGGGAGGCCAAGGUAGGAGGAUCACUUGAGGCUAGGAGUUCAAGACUAGUCUGGGUAACAUUACAAGACCCUGUGUCUACAAAAUUUUUUUUUAAAUUUGCCAGAGGGAUGGUGCCGUCUGUAGUCCUAGGUACUUGAGAGGCUGAGGAGGAAGGAUCCCUUGAGCCCAGGAGUUCUAGGCUGCAAUGAGUUAUAAUCACCCACUAGACUAGAGCCUGGGCAGCAGAGCCAGAUCCUGUCUUUAAGAAAAACAAAACAAAACAAAACAAAACAGAGAUUUGAAUGAAAAGAAUAAGAUUAUAAAAUAUGAGGAGAAAAUUCAGAUUAACAAUGCUACAAUCUUGAAAUGGGGAAGUGUAUUAGUCUGCCAGGUCUGCUAUUAAUAUAAAAAAAAAAACCUGUGGCUUAAUGGAAAUUUAUUUUCUCAGUUCUGGAGGCCGGAAGUCCAAGGUCAAAGUGUCAGCAGGGUUGGUUUCUCCUGAGGCCUUUUACCUUCUCCCUAUGUCUUCAGGUGGCCUUUUCCCUGAGCGUGUGCAUUCCUGGUGGCUGUUCCUCUUCUUAUAAGGACACCAGUCAUUGGAUUAGGGCCCCACCCUUAAGACUUCAUUUAACCGUAAUUACCUCUUUAAAGCCCCUAUCUUUAAAUAAGCCACACUGGCAAUCACCUUUCAACAUACACAUUUGGGGGGAUGCAAUUCAGUCUGUAACAGGAAGUAUUUUCUAAGUCUCACCUCAAAGACAGACCAGUCAUUCAUCUUACUAUAAAUCAAAGCUGUUUAAAAUAAUACAAAUCUCAUUUUUUAUUGAUUUGAUUUUUUAAAAAUUGAUGUCUUAGCAUAAGUAAGAUUAUGGGGAUACAGGGCAGUAUAAGUACUCUCCCACACUGUUGGUGGGACAGAACAUGGAUAUAAAUACUGUGCAGGGCAAUUUGGGUUUUGUAACAUACUAAAAGAAUGUGUUUCCUCUCCAUUUCUUAGAUUUUAUCCUAAAGGAGUAGUCCAACGGGUGAGUAAAAAUAUAUGUGCAAGAAUGUAAAAUUGUAUCAGAUAAUGAAAGUAGGAAACAAAUUUGGUGUUAGUAAAUAGGGGAUUAGAUCAGCCAAUUAAGAUACCAGUUACCCAGUAGAAUACUUUUUAGUCAUUAGGGAAAUACAUAGUAAAUCAGUUUUCUGGGAAUGGACCUAGAAUCUUUAACAUGUUAUGUUAAGUGAAAAAAAUAAAUUAUAGUAUGUUCCUAUUUAUGUAAAAAAUAUAAAUAGAAGUAUACAUGAUGAAAAGUGGUAAUAUAUGAUCUGAAUUAUUUACGCUGAGCAUAGAAUAUUUUGCUAAUCAGAAAGGCAAGCUAUUUUCAUUUUUAAAAAUAACCAUUUGUAGAAAUGAAAAGCAUAUUCCAUAUAUAGAAAUACAUAUUUAAAAAAUAACAUAAAAUUGGAAUAGAUAAAAUACAUUUGCUUGAUGAGGGGGCUCAGAAAAUAGAGGUAAAAAAGUCUUAUAAUAUCUAUCAGCUUAAACAUUUGGGAAACAUGGACUUAGAGCUUUCCUGGGAAAGUUUUAAGCUGUCUGAAGAUGGAAUGUCGUAAGUAAGAAGGGCCCCUUGACACUUGAUGAAAAAGAGUUUAAGAAACAUGUGGAUAGUGGAAGAGGAACACCCUGCCAAACUAAAAUUUUGUCCCCAAAGUGUAUCUCUUAAAGUGGAAGUCUAUCCCUACUAUGCACAGAGUUUCAAAACUGAUAAACAAUUCAGGA